UCUUGAAAAAGAAGCAACAGAUUCAAUUGUGUGGAUUGCGUUAAUCUUAGCUGUCAUAUAUUUGAUAAUCUAACUUUAAAAUGUCAUGGUGUUUCUCUAAGUAAAUAUUCACAUUAGCCCUGUUCUUUUCGCAAACACUGGCAACCAGCGGCCAGUAGCGGACCCAGCAAUAAUGUUUACCUGUGUCAUAAUAAAUAUAUUUUUAAAAAUGUAUAGAAAAGUGUCAAGAUGAAGGUUGGUUUAGGGGUGUCAAAACCUAUAGACUAACCAUGUAAGCUACUGAUCAUUUAUUGUCUUACAUGCUAAAACUAUUUUUAUCAUGAUUUAACUUGUGUCACCUGACCCACCUAACCUGUUAGUGGGUCCGUUUCUGCCAGCGGCAGCGACUGAAAAUUACACUUUUACUAUCGAAAAUGCAACACGGUGAAACAACAUGAACUUACAUUUUCACUCGCAGCAGCAAGAAUCCGUAACUAAAUCCGACGCUGGAAAUAUCAGCGGCAUCAGCGUCUCCUGUUUCAGUCGCUGUGUCAAGCUACGAUAAUUAAAUUCGCUUUCAAAAUAUUAAAUCUUGUCUCUGCUGAAAGUGUUAUUUUUUGCCACUACCGCUAGCCGCAGCGGCUAUGGAAAGAACAUGGCUAUCAUUUUUUCUAAUAAAUGAUACAAAGCGAAAACAAACUGCAAAGUUUGGUUUCAUUUUUAUUUUAUAAGUUUUCAAAAUCAUUAGGAUAAUAUAAAGUGAUUUAAACAAGGGAAAUUGCACCCUAUAUACAUGAAAAAAACAUAAAUACACUAACUAACCAAAAUUUCCCUCUCUCUUCUAUUUUUUCUUCUUAUCUCUCUUUACUCUCUCUCCCAAAAUCUAAAUUUUUUUUUUUUUUAGUUAUUUGGCAAAUAAGCCCUUUAAACAAUGAGUGAACAAAACAAUGAGUGAACAAGAGAAAAAUGAACCACAGCUUUUGAGCCAAACAUAUAGAAGUAUUGAUGAGAUUAACUUGUUAAAAAAUGGAAAAAAUGAAAAAAUAAAGAAUAGUAAAUAAAUAUGGAGAAGAGGGAAUAGAAAAAUAUUUUUUUAUUAAGUAUUUAUAGUUAUGGAUACAAUAAAUUAUUAGUAGGUUUAACUUUCUUAUGAAAUCAAACAAACGUAGUUUAUUACUCUAGCUAAAGUAAAAGUAAAUAUUAAUUUAACUGUUCGCCCGAGUUACUGUUCACCAAGUUGAUAUUCACUUUAAAGCAUACACAAUGGAAAUAAGUUCAGUAGGUUUCUCAUAUAUAAUAUUAAAUUGCAUAUUUAUGUUUUAUUUGUUUUGAUUCGCUAAGUUAUUGUGAAUUUGACAAGUGUAGAUCAAAACCUCAUCAUUAUUUUUGUAGUACCGUCCUAAAGAAGCGCUUCAAAUAAAUGUCAUUAUCUUUCAUAUUUUUUUAAAAAAAUUUCAUUAUAUUGAUUGAUAGGUACUCAUUGAGGUAUCCACACUAAUGGUGCCCUUACCACUUCUUUCAAACUUGACUAUAAAGACUCUGGAGAUCAAGAUUCAAACCAUGAAGAUUUACCUCAUUAAAAAACAGAUUGUUUAAAGUCAUUUGGGAUACAACUACACUUAAAAAAGAGUAUAACCUUCAUGAUCUGUGGUCUUGUGACUGAGAUAGGUUUAUAAAUCCAAGUUUCGAAUGAAUGAACACACAAACUUGGUACUGGCUGCUUAGGUUUCCUAAGAUUUUCUUUUAAAUGAUUAUAAUUGGAAUUUCUAAAUUAGGUCAACCAAGUCCAAUUAUAUAUUUAACUCAGCGAAUUGAGAAAUGUAAGAAGAAAAGAAACUGUAAGAAAAAAGCAUGUUACUACACUGUAUAAUUUUAUAUAUAGACAAAAAAAAACAGAGGAUCGAAGA